GACGAACGCUGGCGGCGUGCUUAACACAUGCAAGUCGAACGGAAAGGCCCUGCUUUUGUGGGGUGCUCGAGUGGCGAACGGGUGAGUAACACGUGAGUAACCUGCCCUUGACUUUGGGAUAACUUCAGGAAACUGGGGCUAAUACCGGACAGGAGCUCCUGCUGCAUGGUGGGGGGUGGAAAGUUUCGGCGGUUGGGGAUGGACUAGCGGCUUAUCAGUUUGUUGGUGGGGUGGUGGCUUACCAAGGCUUUGACGGGUAGCCGGCCUGGGAGGGUGACGGGCCCCAUGGGGACAGGGAACGGACCCGGCUGCAACCGGGGGCAAGGGGUGGGAAAAUUGCCCAAAUGGCCGGAGCCGGAAGACAGCACCCCCGGGUGGGGAAGACCGCCUUUCGGGUUGAAAACGCAGUCGGCUGAUAACAAGCCGUUCUGACGGGAAAGGGGUAAGAAGGAACGGCCAACUACGUG
rnacentral:rRNA from 1 species